UGCUCCAUAGCCAAGCGGUAAGGCAGUGCGCUCUGACCGCACGAUGCGUUAGUUCGAAUCUAACUGGAGCAGCCA
rnacentral:tRNA from 3 species